rnacentral:lncRNA from 1 species
AUGGACUUGCCAUCAGUUGCUAUCAAUCAGCAGCAACAGAUAAAAGAAGAAAGCCAACAAAGGCAGGACAUUGCCCCGCCCCCACCGGAAAGCUGAUUUCUCUCCCAGGGACAACAAAGUAGAGUCGGGAAGUUUAUUCUGUUCCCUAUGUAAUGCUUCCAUCACAGCUCAAGAGAAGAGAUAACUACACAGUCAGAGUGAUAACAAAACAAAACCUUAGAGGGAAGGAUGAAACAAGGAGGCCAUGAAACCCAAGGGCAGCGCCAACAAAGAGGAAUAGGAAGGGGUGUCCUAGAAAACCAGCAAGCCCAGUUAUGUGGACCAAGACAACUGGAAAUGCCUUGUCAACAUGACUAGCUACCAGAGCAAGCAGUGAUGUGGAAAUCUCAUGGUGAU